rnacentral:misc_RNA from 1 species
UUGUGGAGGAGGACGCCGAAGGUGGGGCUAAUGACUGGGGUGAAGUCGUAACAAGGUAGCCGUACCGGAAGGUGCGGCUGGAUCACCUCCUAACAGGGAGACAACAAAAUGUUUAAUAUUAUUAUUUUGUCACCUUAGGUCGAUCGGUAUCUCACGUUCUUAAUUUAUUAAGAAUUUCAUUUCCUAAGUUUUUCUAGGUCACACCCAUUAUUUUUCCUGGGCCAUUAGCUCAGGUGGUUAGAGCGCACCCCUGAUAAGGGUGAGGUCCCUGGUUCAAGUCCAGGAUGGCCCAUAUCUCUAUGUUGGGGGUAUAGCUCAGUUGGUAGAGCGCCUGCUUUGCAAGCAGGAUGUCAGCGGUUCGAGUCCGCUUACCUCCACUGAUUACCACCUCUUCCAUAACCGGUAGUAAAGGAAAUGUUUUGAGUUGUGAUCAAAUUCUGAAAGAAUCUAGCUUCCUAAUGAAUUCAUUAAGAUGCUGGACUCAUUGAAUUAAUUUCAUUGUUUUCAGAGAACCUUGACAACUGCAUAGAUUAUUUUUAAAGACAAUAAGCAUCUUUAAUGAUGCAGAUUUAUUAUUUGUGCGAAUGCAUUAAUAACAAUUCUAUUAAGCUGAUGCUCAAUUUUGAAGUUAUUGGUCAAGCUACAA